rnacentral:rRNA from 1 species
AUUGAACGCUGGCGGCAGGCCUAACACAUGCAAGUAGAACGAGUGGCGGACGGGUGAGUCAUGUCUGGGAAACUGCCUGAUGGAGGGGGAUACCUACUGGAAACGGUAGCUAAUACCGCAUACCAUCCGAUGGGCCCAGAUGGGAUUAGCUAGUAGGUGGGGUAACGGCUAACCUAGGCGAAGAUCCCUAGCUGGUCUGAGAGGAUGACAGGCAAAACUGGAACUGAGAAACGGUCCAGACUCCUACGGGAGGCAGCAGUGGGGAAUAUUGCACAAUGGGCGCAAGCCUGAUGCAGCCAGGCCGCGUGGAGGAAGAAGGCCUUCGGGUUGUAAAGUACUUUCAGCGGGGAGGCGUUACCCGCAGAAGAAGCACCGGCUAACUCCGUGCCAGCAGCCGCGGUAAUUC